rnacentral:rRNA from 1 species
CAGUAGCCGCGGGAAUACGGAGGGUGCAAGCGUUAAUCGGAAUUACUGGGCGUAAAGCGCACGCAGGCGGUCUGACAAGUCAGAUGUGAAAUCCCCGGGCUUAACCUGGGAACUGCAUUUGAAACUGUCAGGCUGGAGUCUUGUAGAGGGGGGUGGAAUUCCAGGUGUAGCGGUGAAAUGCGUAGAGAUCUGGAGGAAUACCGGUGGCGAAGGCGGCCCCCUGGACGAAGACUGACGCUCAGGUGCGAAAGCGUGGGGAGCAAACAGGAUUAGAUACCCGCGUAGUCCCUGUCUCUUAUAC